AGUGGAUGGGGAGCAACCUAGUUGUGCGUGUGUAAAGGUAGUGCCAAGAAAAGCGAUGAUCAUGUUGAAAAUCAAUUCCCGGUACCCGAAACCGACACAGGUGGGCAAGUAGAGAAUACUAAGGGGCGCGAGGUAACUCUCUCCAAGGAACUCGGCAAAAUGACCCCGUAACUUAGGGAGAAGGGGUGCCACCGAGAGGUGGUCGCAGUGAAGAGGCCCAGGCGACUGUUUAGCAAAAACAUAGGUCUCUGCAAACUCGAAAGAGGAGGUAUAGGGGCUGACGCCUGCCCAUUGCCGGAAGGUUAAAGAAGUUGGUCAGUUUUAGGAUGAAGCUAGCGACUGAAGCCCCGGUGAACGGCGGCCGUAACAUAACGGUCCUAAGGUAGCGAAAUUCCUUGUCGGGUAAGUUCCGACCCGCACGAAAGGCGUAACGAUCUGGGCGCUGUCUCGGAGAGAGGCUCGGCGAAAUAGGAUUGUCUGUGAAGAUACGGACUACCUGCAUUUGGACAGAAAGACCCUAUGAAGCUUUACUAUAGCUUGGAAUUGUGUUCGGGCUUCCUGUGCGCAGGAUAGGUGGGAGGCGAAGAAGGUAUUCUUGUGGGGAUACUGGAGCCAACGGUGAGAUACCACUCUCAGGAGGCUAGAAUUCUAACUUAAUUAAGGACAGUUUCAGGUGGGUAGUUUGACCGGGGCGGUCGCCUCCAAAAAGGUAACGGAGGCGUACAAAGGUUCCCUCAGACUGGUUGGAAAUCAGUCGCAGAGUGCAAAGGCAGAAGGGAGCUUGACUGCGAGAAGUACAGUUCGAGCAGGGUGGAAACACGGUCUUAGUGAUCCGACGGUGCUGUGUGGAAGGGCCGUCGCUCAACGGAUAAAAGUUACUCUAGGAUAACAGGCUGAUCUCCCCCAAGAGUUCACAUCGACGGGGAGGUUUGGCACCUCGAUGUCGGCUCAUCGCAACCUGGGGCGGAAGUACGUCCCAAGGGUUGGGCUGUUCGCCCAUUAAAGCGGUACGUGAGCUGGGUUCAGAACGUCGUGAGACAGUUCGGUCCAUAUCCGAUGUAGGCGUGAGAAUAUUGAGAGGAGCCUUCCUUAGUACGAGAGGACCGGGAAGGACGCACCGCUGGUGUACCUGUUAUGAUGCCAAUUGUAAACGCAGGGUAGCCAAGUGCGGAGAGGAUAACCGCUGAAAGCAUCUAAGUGGGAAGCCCACCUCAAGAUGAGUAUUCUGGUGUAAGGUCACGGGAAGACGACCCGUAAAUAGGCACGAGGUGGAAGUGCAGAGAUGUAUGAAGCCGAAGUGUACUAAUAGACCGUCGGCUUGAAC
rnacentral:rRNA from 1 species